rnacentral:rRNA from 1 species
GACGAACGCUGGCGGCGUGCUUAACACAUGCAAGUCGAACGGAAAGGCCCUGCUUUUGUGGGGUGCUCGAGUGGCGAACGGGUGAGUAACACGUGAGUAACCUGCCCUUGACUGUGGGAUAACUUCAGGAAACUGGGGCUAAUACCGGAUAGGAGCUCCUGCUGCAUGGUGGGGGUUGGAAAGUUUCGGCGGUUGGGGAUGGACUCGCGGCUUAUCAGCUUGUUGGUGGGUAGUGGCUUACCAAGGCUUUGACGGGUAGCCGGCCUGAGAGGGUGACCGGCCACAUGGGGACUGAGAUACGGCCCAGUCUCCUACGGGAGGCAGCAGUGGGGAAUAUUGCACAAUGGGCGGAAGCCUGAUGCAGCAACGCCGCGUGCGGGAUGACGGCCUUCGGGUUGUAAACCGCUUUCGCCUGUGACGAAGCGUGAGUGACGGUAAUGGGUAAAGAAGCACCGGCUAACUACGUG